rnacentral:misc_RNA from 1 species
CCAAUAGCGUAUAUUAAAGUUGUUGCAGUUAAAAAGCUCGUAGUUGAAUUUCAGGCCUGGCUGGACGGUCCGCCCUUCGGGUGAGUACUGUCUGUGGUCGGGUCCUACCUUCUGGCGAAGCGUCAUGGCCUUAACCGGCCGUGGCGGGGAACCAGGACUUUUACUGUGAAAAAAUUAGAGUGUUCAAAGCAGGCAAAUCGCUUGGAUACAUUAGCAUGGAAUAAUGGAAUAGGACAAUGGUUCUAUUUGUUGGUUUCUAGGACCGUUGUAAUGAUUAAUAGGGAUAGUUGGGGGCAUUAGUAUUCAAUUGUCAGAGGUGAAAUUCUUGGAUUUAUUGAAGACUAACUACUGCGAAAGCAUUUGCCAAGGAUGUUUUCAUUAAUCAAGAACGAAAGUUAGGGGAUCGAAGACGAUCAGAUACCGUCGUAGUCUUAACCAUAAACUAUGCCGACUAGGAAUCGGGCGAUGUUGAAAAAAUGACGCGCUCGGCACCUCAUG